GAUGAACGCUAGCGGCAGGCCUAAUACAUGCAAGUCGAACGGUGUCUUCGGACAUAGUGGCGCACGGGUGCGUAACACGUAUGCAACCUACCUUACAUUGGGGGAUAGCCUUUCGAAAGGGAGAUUAAUACCGCAUAAGACAGUAGCUGGGCAUCCAGCAGCUGUUAAAGAUUUAUCGAUGUAAGAUGGGCAUGCGUCCAAUUAGCUAGGUGGUGAGGUAACGGCUCACCAAGGCAAUGAUUGGUAGGGGAACUGAGAGGUCAAUCCCCCACACUGGCACUGAGAUACGGGCCAGAGUCCUGCGGGAGGCAGCAGUAGGGAAUAUUGGGCAAUGGACUCAAGUAUGACCCAGCCAUGCCGCGUGCAGGAUGAAGGCGUUAUGCGUUGUAAACUGCUCUUAUACAGGAAGAAACGACUCUUGCGAGAGGCAUUGACGGUACUGUAUGAAUAAGCACCGGCUAACUCCGUGCCAGCAGCCGCAGUAAUAC
rnacentral:rRNA from 1 species